GAUCUCUCGUCCAGUCACUGCGCACUUUCGUACGAUCCAAGACUCGAGACGGUGGAGAAUGGAAGGCAGGGGAUCAUUCAGCCCACGGUUCUCUCUCUAGAAGGCAACGAAGCGGUCGGAAGGCGGGGGAUUGUUGAGCCCGAUCUCUCGUCCAGUCACUGCGCACUUUCGUACGAUCCAAGACUCGAUGGAGAUGGUGGAGCGAGGCCGACCCGGGGACGAAAACGGGGUGUGGAGAACUCCGCUUGGAUUUCUGGGACGAGGUGGACAUGGAUGUUCCAGCUUUCACAAGACGAUGGCUUCAUGGUAGUUGUUCUGUGGAUUUUUAAUGCCGUUAACGUAAAUUGCAAAUUUCUCAUGAGUCCAGUAAAGAUAACCUUGUAUAACGUGUUUCUAUGAUAAACUUAGAUGUAUUGUUGAUAGUGGGGUCUAGAG